GACGAACGCUGGCGGCGCGCUUAACACAUGCAAGUCGAGCGAAGCGGCGGACGGGUGAGUAACACGUGAGUAACCUGCCUUAGACAUUGGGAUAGCCUCGGGAAACCGGGAUUAAUACCAAAUGGUCUAAGAUGGACUCGCGUCCCAUUAGCUCGUUGGUGAGGUAACGGCCCACCAAGGCGACGAUGGGUAGCCGGCCUGAGAGGGUGACAGGCCAGAGUGGAACUGAGAAACGGUACAAACUCGACGGGAGGCAGCAGGGGGGGAUAGUGCACAAUGGGCGAGAGCCUGAUGCAGCGACGCCGCGUGGGGGAUGAAGGCUUUCUGGUUGUAAACCUCUUUCGCUAUCGAACGGGUAGGUGGAGAAGAAGCGCCGGCUAACUACGUGCCAGCAGCCGCGGUAAUUC
rnacentral:rRNA from 1 species